rnacentral:lncRNA from 1 species
UGGAUACCAACCUUGCCAGCGCAAGAUCAGCCUGAUCACGAAGAUCGAUUCCUAUCUGCAAUCGAAGAACGAACAAGAAAGAGAGGCGAGCAAUCUAAAUAUCACUCGAAGGUGGAGUUCUGAAUCACACAACGACAGCGCGUAUUUGCGCGUGUUCGAGAGUAGCUAAAGCUAGAUGUAAAACAAAACUCAAGUCGUAAACAAAAGGGACUCCGACUAAAUAAAGGGGGCGCAGCCCCUGGAGUCCGGAGGAGGCGCCACGGCAGGAGGGGGCGCGCGCGACCAGGGGGAGGCCGCGGCUCCCAACCCUAGGCGCCCCAACUGGGCUGCCCUGUUGGGCCAUCUUCUUAUUCCGCUAGGCCUUCGUUCCUUAACAGCAUGAUGAAGUUUAAUUCUCUCGUACGGGCCCAAGUGAUUGGCCCAACUGGGUGAUCAAUUGUAGGC